AUAUAUGUGACUGAGUGGCGGACGGGUGAGUAACGCGUGGGUAACCUGCCUCAUACAGGGGGAUAACAGUUAGAAAUGGCUGCUAAUACCGCAUAAGCACACAGUGUUGCAUGACACAGUGUGAAAAACUCCGGUGGUAUGAGAUGGACCCGCGUCUGAUUAGCUAGUUGGUGGGGUAACGGCCUACCAAGGCGACGAUCAGUAGCCGACCUGAGAGGGUGACCGGCCACAUUGGGACUGAGACACGGCCCAAACUCCUACGGGAGGCAGCAGUGGGGAAUAUUGCACAAUGGGGGAAACCCUGAUGCAGCGACGCCGCGUGAGCGAAGAAGUAUUUCGGUAUGUAAUAGCUCUAUCAGCAGGGAAGACAAUGACGGUACCUGACUAAGAAGCCCCGGCUAACUACGUGCCAGCAGCCGCGGUAAUACGUAGGGGGCAAGCGUUAUCCGGAUUUACUGGGUGUAAAGGGAGCGUAGACGGAUGUGCAAGUCUGAAGUGAAAGCCCGGGGCUCAACCCCGGGACUGCUUUGGAAACUGUGUAUCUGGAGUGCCGGAGAGGUAAGCGGAAUUCCCAGUGUAGCGGUGAAAUGCGUAGAUAUUGGGAGGAACACCAGUGGCGAAGGCGGCUUACUGGACGGUAACUGACGUUGAGGCUCGAAAGCGUGGGGAGCA
rnacentral:rRNA from 1 species